CUUCUUUACAUCCGGACCGUGACGUCACCGGCUCUCUGGUUUCAGCGUGUCUCGGGCACGGGAGUAAUGCUCGCGCUCUCCCGCACACCGCGAGCACAGCAGCAGCAGCAGCAGCAGCAGCAGCGGAGCGAGCGGGACCUCACUACACACGCUUCUACCAAAGUAACCGGAGGCUCUUUAAACGUUGUUACCUCUGCCGGAUACGACCCUUUCGUAUCCCCCUUUCUCUCUGCACGUUUGACCGCCCCGGCGUUUAUGGAAGCUUUCUCAUCGUCCUGCCCCGGCACCCGCUGAGCCGAGGAGAUCAAGGGGAGAGCAGGGUGGAGGGUGGAGGAGGGUGGAGCCACAUCUAAUUUCAGGCUUUGCCUCCUGAGAGAUAAAUCAGCAAAAUGGUGAAUCUGCAGAGUUGUCCACUUCCUUAUUGAGCCAGUGUACUGGUGGACAAAUACAGACCCUAAUGUCUGUGUCAAAUGUGUGAAUCUUUACACAGAAAUGCGUGUAAGAUGUUACGAAUAAAGACUAUGAAAGCUGUAGUUGUUACCAAAGCUGUGAAGUUGAGUGUUGAGCUUUUUACACAACUUUACAAAUGCUAUUCCACGAGCCUGCAGCUUCCCAUCCGCUCAUCCGUAUGUCUUUAAGGAGAUGACCUUGAUAAGAAGAAGCUGAGUACUAUUUUAGGAGAUUCUGCUCUUUGUCCCUGCAAUGGACCUACAGGAUACAGUAGGGAUGUGAUGCCUGUUUCCAUUUCAGGACAUUAAAAUGCACAUAUCUCAA